UCAAUGGCGGGCCGUGCGUGGGGCACCUACGGGUGCGCCGGGUUCCUACGUCCCCGGUUUUCCAGCCCGCGCACGGUUCGCCUCCC
rnacentral:antisense_RNA from 1 species